rnacentral:lncRNA from 1 species
UGGAGAUGCGCGUUCAUGUGAAUUCUCCAUGUUUUUCUUUCUCUCUUUGAAUGAAUACAACGUCGCCCGGUUGGAAUAUUAUCGCUAUUUUACAAGAAAAAUCGCAUAAAAAAUGAUUUUAAACAGCGUUUGACAUGCUUCGAAGUACGGUAAUGGAAUAUUUAGACAUUUUUUGUCACGAAAUGCACUCGGAUACUGACCUGAACGCACAAACAGAACGGAGGUAUUUGGAUAAGACUAUGGAUUAUUUCGAACCAAAACAACAUUUGUUGUUGAAGUAGAAUUCCUGGGAGUGCAUUCUGAUGAAGACAGCAAAGGUAUGUCUUGAUGUGAGAGAGGAAGCCACUCCCGUCAUCGCCACAUCACCCGCUCUUAAAAUAACCUUUGGGCCAACUGGGGGCCCAAGGCUGGUUAGGAGACACCGCUAGAGACACUAUGUAAUUGUGAUGAACUGAGAGAAUAUUAGGGUAGCAU